rnacentral:rRNA from 1 species
CCUACGGGCGGCAGCAGUGGGGAAUAUUGCACAAUGGGGGAAACCCUGAUGCAGCGACGCCGCGUGAAGGAAGAAGUAUUUCGGUAUGUAAACUUCUAUCAGCAGGGAAGAAAAUGACGGUACCUGACUAAGAACCCCCUGUUAACUACGUGCCAGCAGCCGCUGACACACGUCGGGGGCAAGCGUUAUCCGGAUUUACUGGGUGUAAAGGGAGCGUAGGCGGGGAAGCAAGUCAGAAGUGAAAGCCCGGGGCACAACUCCGGGACUGCCUUUGAAACUGGUGGACUAGAUUGGACGAGAGGUAAGUGGAAUUCGUAGUGUAGCGGUGAAAUGCGUAGAUAUUAGGAGGAACGCCAGUGGCGAAGGCAGCAUACUGGACUGUAAAUGACGCUGAGGCACGAAAGCGUGGGGAGCAAACAGGAUUAGAUACCCUUGUAGUC